AGUCGGCUCCGCUGCUUGGAGCGGGGGGGGCGCGCGAGCUGGGCGCUUUCCCGGCCUUUGGCGCUGAGGUGACAGAGGUUUCAUUUAAGAACAGAAGGAUCUAACAUCCCCGAGUUUGAAGACAAGCUGUGUGAGAAGAUUUGCUAAAUGGAGAACUUCUGUGUAGAGGCAUAACUUAGCUAUGAAAGCUGCUGCUGCAUGGCUAUUCUUGGCCUUAAAAUUGAGCAAUAGGUUUGCUGUUUGCUCUGGACCAAAGCUCCAGCUGAGUCAAGUGGAGAUUUGAAAGUUUUCAUGAGGCUUGCGUACUGGAGACCAGCAGUUAAGCGUGUCCCAUUUGAAGACAAAUCAAGUGUUAUAUCUCUAGUUGCUGUUUUGAAGAACAUGGAGAAAGCUAAUGCUCAGCAGAACUGUGGCAUGCAAGCAGAAGAUCACCAAGCAAAAACCAAACACAUUUAUUUGAAGCUUGGAUUCCCUUGCCCGUAGUAGCAGAGAACAUGAAUGCAUGAAUCAAGGCUUCCUUUCCCACUCUAUUAUCGGUUAUGUUCCCAGAAUCAUAGUUAAAAU
ensembl:lncRNA